rnacentral:rRNA from 1 species
CGGUGAGCCGCGAAUAGCUCAUUACAACAGCCACCGUUUACUAGAAUAUAGUUAUCCUACUUGGAUAACUGUGGCAAUUCUAGAGCUAAUACAUGCAAAAAAGCUCUGCCCGCAAGGAACGAGCGCAUUUAUUAGAAUAAAAACCAAUCGGGUUUCGGCCCGUAAUUUGGUGAAUCUGAAUAACUUUGCCAAUCGCACAGUCCUAGUACUGGCGAUGUAUCUUUCAAGUGUCUGCCUUAUCAACUUUCGAUGGUAGGUUAUACGCCUACCAUGGUAGUAACGGGUAACGGAGAAUAAGGGUUCGACUCCGGAGAGGGAGCCUGAGAAACGGCUACCACAUCCAAGGAAGGCAGCAGGCGCGCAAAUUACCCACUUCCAGAACGGAGAGGUAGUGACGAAAAAUAACGAGACAGUCCUCUUCGAGGUCUGUCAUCGGAAUGGGUACAAUUUAAAUCCUUUAACGAGGAUCUAUUGGAGGGCAAGUCUGGUGCCAGCAGCCGCGGUAAUUCCAGCUCCAAUAGCGUAUAUUAAAGUUGUUGCGGUUAAAACGCUCGUAGUUGGAUUUGCGGCCUCGGAGAACGGUCCCCCGAAAGGGCGGUCACUGUCUCUCCUAGCCUAAAUUCGAGUCGUCUCUAAGUGCUCUUUACCGGGUGCUUAGAGUGACUAGAACGUUUACUUUGAAAAAAUUAGAGUGCUUAAAGCAGGCGAAAUAGCCUGAAUAAGGUGCAUGGAAUAAUGGAAUAGGACCUCGGUUCUAUUUUGUUGGUUUUCGGAACCCGAGGUAAUGAUUAAGAGGAACAGACGGGGGCAUUCGUAUUCCGGCGCUAGAGGUGAAAUUCUUGGACCGCCGGAAGACGGACAACUGCGAAGA